rnacentral:rRNA from 1 species
UACUCAGUUCGGAUUGAAGGCUGAAAUUCGCCUUCAUGAAGCUGGAAUUGCUAGUAAUGGCAGGUCAGCAUACUGCCGUGAAUACGUUCCCGGGCCUUGUACACACCGCCCGUCACACCAUGAGAGUUUGUAACACCCAAAGCCGGUGGGGUAACCUUUUGGAGCCAGCCGUCUAAGGUGGGACAGAUGAUUGGGGUGAAGUCGUAACAAGGUACC